GGAAUCGUACCGUUUGUAACGGCAGGGUAUCGCGGUACCUUUCAAGUAUCGGUACACCGUGCAACACUAGUUUGAUUUGAGCUCUUGUUAGCUAGCCUACAUUUAAUAUCUCCCUCACUUGAGAAAUGAUUUAACUUACGUGUAAGACAGUAUUUUUAUAUUGUUUUAAGUUAUAUCUCAAAGUGGAACGUUUGUGAUGCAAAAGUUUUCUGGAAAAGUCGAACCUAAAAUGGCGUUAGGAGGCGCGUUUUCUUUCUUCUUUUUUUACCGCAUUUCUGGGCAUGUUUUAUUAAUUUAGAGGCAUAGAGGAUUAAUUUGAUCCACUACAAUGUACCAUAACCGUGCGUUCUGCAUGUUUGUAAAAGCAAGCUAACUUGAAACACUAGACUAUUAAUUUUACAAGGUAAUUUAUACCCCCCAGCGUUUUCAAAUACAUGUAACUCAGCAAAGGUAAUGAUCGUGCAGUGAUGAUACUAAUACUUAUAGAAUCUGUGGAAUCUCAGCUUUAAUCUGAUAUCUUGUAUGCGCAGUUACGAUAAGUAGCCUAUAAUAAAGUAUUUCUACCGUGAGUUCUGUGCGCUAAUUUAGACUAAUUUAAUAGUGAGACUUGUGUUUUGUUUCGGUAAAAAUGGUUCGUAUCUUCAGUUAGCUGAGUUUCGUUAACUGGGUAUGACACAUUAAUAGGUUUUUAAAUGUUAAGAAGCCCCUGAGACAACGUUUCGUGAACAAGAAGCCCUCGGUACCGGGGGCUGCCGGAUUUAACAGAUUAAUAGUCUAGUGUUUCAAGUUAGCUUGCUUUUAAAAACAUGCAGAACGCACGGUUAUGGUACAACGUUAGUGGAUUAAAAUGAACGUAAAUCCUCGUUGUAUUAAUUUAUAUGCCUCUAAGUUAAUAAAACAUGCACAGACAUGCAUGCUGUAACAAAAAAGAAGAAAAGCGCGCCGCCUACCGCCAUUUUAGGUUCGAAAAUAGUGUUUCUCAUUUUGUGAAAACUUUGCAACCCAGCUAACCUUUAAUGUUUUUUCUCUUAAGGAAACUGACGCAACUGGCAGAUAUAUGGCUUCUUCAAUCUGUUAAUGCAGACUACCUUUGCCCUGCGGCGCAAUGAGAUCAUCAAUGAUGAGCUACCUGUUGGAGAGAUCCUGGAACGCUGGCCUGCCUUGAAAAUGGAGUCACAGAGUUUCACAGGAUAACGAACCUCAACCUGAAGAACCACUUCUAUGCGGAGUUGGAUAGACAUGUCCUCCAUCUUCAGAGCCUGUUCAGGAAGAAGGCGGCAAGCAAGGAAAGGAAACUGAACUUCUGGAUCAGCUAUUCGCCUCCUAUGACCUCCAGGAGCAAGGUGACGUCCAUGUCCUCCGUGCUCUGCCUGAAUAUCUGCAUGAAGAUGACUCCACGUUUCUGAGGCUGUGGCAUGUGGAGCAGUCUGAUGAUCCAGACACAGAGGGCAUCGCGGUCGGACUUCUCAUGAUCAGUGCCAGGUCAACAGACACCACGCUCUUCUGCCCAGAGAGGAUCGCUGUUGUCAUUGAGGGUAACAGAGUUAUGGAACUCCCCACACUGGCUGACGCAUUCAUCCUGCUUUUUGCACUGACCUUUGCCCUGCAUCUGAGCUACACAAAAGACUUGGCCAACACUUUCGACUUCACCCAGAAAGUGUUGAUGAGGGGAACUUGAAGCCCAGGGUGUUGAGCCUGAAAAAGCUUUUGGCAGUUUAAUCCAACCAACAAAGUUGCACUUUAACAAUCACACACACACACACACACACUGUUCUCCUCUGUUUACAUCCUGCUGCUUUACAUCUGUGUUCUGUUGUGUUCAUUGACAGAUUUGUUACUGUUCAGCUUCAAGUUGAAGGACUGUUCGUAGAUGUUUUAUACUUUUAUAUGUAUUGGGUCUUUAUGGUCCAUGUGUUAAAUUAAUACGCAGAACUGUUCCUGAAAAUUGUGUUCACUCAUAAGUGAUGGUUAAAAUACACACAGAUAUUUCUCAAGGCCCUAGCACUGUUUUUAAGGUGUUUUUAUUUAUUUAAGAGUUAAAUAUAUUGAAUUUGUAUUGUGCUAAAAUGCAUUGUUCUUUUAUAGUGGAAAUGGAAUGUUGGCGAUUUGCCAAAGCUGUUCAAAUUAUCAAUAAAUGCAUUUUUAUAUAUAUAUA